AUUGCAUUUGUAUCAAGUUUAAUUAUUCGAUUAAUUAUUCAAGGAGAAAAUUCAUUUUGUAUUAAACUUUUGUAUUUCUAACAAUUUGUUAAAUGUGUAUGUAGUUGCAUGAAGUCUUUGCCGUUUUAAAUUUCAUAACACUCAUUGGUUGUGGGUAUAUUUUUACCAAAACAAAUUAUUCUUUCAUGGGCAAAAAUUGGACAGAUGGCUAGGAAGUGGCAUGUGUUGGAAGUAAUAUUGAUGUGAUAUCAUCUGUGGUGGACCGCCCGCCCAUAGGCAAUCGUGCAUUGAAUUCUUUGAACAUGGAUGCAACAAAUCCCAGACAGAAUACUAUGGCCUGCCUGCUGCUGGAGCACACGUUCUGAAUGAUUACCAGACCAUAGUGUCUACCCCAAUAGCCGCCCCUUUAGUUUGUUAUAAAAUAAAUUGCAUAUAUUCAACGUU